ensembl:snRNA Gm24674 U6 spliceosomal RNA
GUGAUCACUUCGGCAGCAUAUGUACUAAAAUUGGAACAAUACAGAGAUUUGCACGGCUCCUGCACAAAUCUGGCACACAAAUUUGUGAAACAUUCCAUAUUUUU